GACAGAGGUGCCGAGCGUUAGGCGGAAUCACUGGGCUUAAAGCGUGUGUAGGCGGGCGGGCAAGUACCUUGUGAAAUCCCACGGCUCAACCGUGGAACGGCUGGGUAUACUGCCUGUCUUGAGCCAACUAGGGGCGAGCGGAACAGACGGUGGAGCGGUGAAAUGCGUAGAUAUCGUCUGGAACGCCAAAGGUGAAAACAGGUAGCUGGGGAUGUGCUGACGCUGAGACACGAAAGCCAGGGGAGCAAACGGG
rnacentral:rRNA from 1 species